GCAAGUCGAACGGAAAGGCCCGCUUGCGGGUACUCGAGUGGCGAACGGGUGAGUAACACGUGGGCAACCUGCCCUCAGCUCUGGGAUAACUCCGGGAAACCGGUGCUAAUACUGGAUAGGACUUCGCAUCGCAUGGUGUGGGGUGGAAAGUUUUUCGGCUGAGGAUGGGCCCGCGGCCUAUCAGCUUGUUGGUGGGGUAAUAGCCUACCAAGGCGACGACGGGUAGCCGGCCUGAGAGGGCGACC
rnacentral:rRNA from 1 species